UGGACAGCCACAGCCACUGAGACAGGAACCUGAGCGUGCACUGUACAUCUCGAUGGAACAACCCAAAACUGUCAAAAAGGGUGUUUGCGCAAAACUUAUCAAGUUAAAGAGGAAGAUGGCCACCAGCCGGCUUAAACCUUGGAACUGAAAAGAGGAUUUUUUAACAGAAGAAUCAGCUUGAAAGAAGUACAGAAGAAGUACAAGUAUUUAUAGCAGUGCAGAGAAACUUUGCAGUGGAAAAAGUAGCAGUUAAUGCCAAGCUUGCCAUUUCCAGCAAUUGCUCUAGGAUAUCACAACCACCCACAAGACUGGCCAGAGGAGCUUCCCUGUUAGAGGCUAUGAGCAACCUGUGGGGUGGAUGACAGUAUGUGGAGCAAUGCACAGGAACCUGCAUGGAUGUGCAAGUUGUUUCUGUUAGCCCUGAUAUCUUGCCUUUGCAAAUGGCAGGUUCAGUGUGAAGAAUGAGUCUAAAUCUCCAUACAGAACUGAGUGUGAUUCCACUGGGAAGCUGGCAGAUUUUGCAGAAACCUGUGGAGCUGAAACCACUGAAUACAGCUCCAUUUGCCUUCUGGACUUCUCUGAUGAAAUCCCAAAGGAGGAACUAGAAAGUGCUAUAUGGUAUUAGUGUUCCCUUCUGCAGACAAAGGCAUCCCUGACAGACAAUUCAAACUUGGAUAUUCAACACCAGGCAUGUGCAACAGUGACAAGUGGAUUUUUGUUCUUGUUCCUCAUUCGUGUAUAAUUCCCUGCACAUUCAGAGGAUUACACACUGUUUAUGCAUCAUGCAAUCUUACUGAGUCCUGUUUCUUUACAGUACUUACUCCUGCUGCUAAAGGGAAAAUAGGCUCUAACAAUCCUCUUUUCGUGCCAAAGCUGCUGCUACUGAAUGAACACAUCCUGCCUGCAGUAGUCUGAUUGAUCCCUGCGAUCCCUGUAUCCAACAGAAGUUCAAAAGGAUUCUGCUGCUCAAAGGACUAAAAUUGGUAUUCGUUUAAGAUUUACUGGCAAACUAAAGCUCCUUCAUGUAACAGCAGAUGCUGUUCUGCCUUUCAACUCCACAGCACACCAAAGUGACACUGAACAAGUUCAAACUUUGGAUGGCCUUGACAACAUACUACACCUUAAGACUGCCAUUUCCUAGCUCUGAAUCCUCUUUAGCUCACGAGCAAUAGCUAAUGUCACUGAACUUAGACACAGCUUGCAGCUCCACUCUGAAGCAGGACACAUACACCUGGAACCUGUUCAAAAUAGUAAAUUCUAAAUAAUCUAGCACACGGUAAUGCUUUGCACAGCUACUGUUAAGGCCACCUUUGCAGCUUGUCAAACCCCAUUGCCUUUAAAAGCUCGGUCCUGCUGCUGUGAAGUACAAUUCAUACAUCCUUAUAACCCCUUGCAGUGCUUGGGUAGGCUAAAAAGAUAGGCCUUAACAGAUUGCUCUGAAGAGUGGAGAAUGGAAAUGUUUUCCUGUAACAAAGACCUUUACAGGUUAUAUAUGAAGCGUGUGCUUAUGACCAACCUUAAGACAAAUAGAUGUUUAGACCAGAGGGACAGCAUUUUUAUAGCUUACUUUAUAAAAUAUUCUGAUGUGCCAUCCUCACAUUCACAUGAUUCACAUUCUCUUUUUAAUUGUCUCUCUUCUGAAGAGACAAAGGACUACAAAAUGUAUUGUUAGCUAUGGUGAUCCAAAAUACUCAU